UACGUAGGGUGCGAGCGUUGUCCGGAAUUACUGGGCGUAAAGAGCUCGUAGGUGGUUUGUCGCGUUGUUCGUGAAAACUCACAACUCAAUUGUGGGCGUGCGGGCGAUACGGGCAGACUGGAGUACUGCAGGGGAGACUGGAAUUCCUGGUGUAGCGGUGGAAUGCGCAGAUAUCAGGAGGAACACCGGUGGCGAAGGCGGAUCUCUGGGCCUUACCUGACGCUGAGGCGCGAAAGCUAGGGGAGCAAACAGG
rnacentral:rRNA from 1 species